rnacentral:rRNA from 1 species
AGACGGAGGGGGCUAGCGUUGUUCGGAAUUACUGGGCGUAAAGCGCGCGUAGGCGGAUUGAUCAGUCAGAGGUGAAAUCCCAGGGCUCAACCCUGGAACUGCCUUUGAUACUGUCAGUCUUGAGUUCGAGAGAGGUGAGUGGAAUUCCGAGUGUGGAGGUGAAAUUCGUAGAUAUUCGGAGGAACACCAGUGGCGAAGGCGGCUCACUGGCUCGAUACUGACGCUGAGGUGCGAAAGCGUGGGGAGCAAACAGGAUUAGAUACCCCGGUAGUCC